GCUAACACAGAUUAAGAAAAUGCUAAUCACCAUACUAGGCACAGAGACACCUGCUUGGUAGAUACUGAAUGGAAGAAGUAAAGUAGCUGUUAACUAAGCCCAGAAUGAGAUAGGCAUAGAAGACUGCGAAGCAAAUCAAAAUGCCAGAAAUGAAUUGAAUAGCUAGGUCCAUCAGGAGAAAACAGCAAAAUGCGAUAAGCUUUCAAUUGGCCUGGAAGGACACUGUGGCCCUGGGACAGAUGGACAGCCAUUCCUUCUGGUCUACGUUGCUGACACUGUCGGUCUGACAUUGGAGCUGUUCUGUCAACUGUGGAUUCUGCUGCCUGCAGUUUCCGAGUAGGCCUGGGGCUACAGCUAGGUGGCAGCAGGAUUGAGCUCAGCGGCUUUUCCGUUGAAGUGCAUGGCAGCUUCCAAGUUUUCCACUUUGCUCAACUCAGUGUUAUAGUUUUGAAGCAUUCUACCUGGCUCAGUCCUUUCUUGGAAGAGCACCCUUCCCUGCUGGCAAAGAGGCAAAGAAUCUCCACUCAAGUAAAAGGCUAUUGCUCCCUAAGGUUUAGAGAAGAGCUGCUACACAUUCGCCACCCCAGGUGCCCUUUCCCUGGUUAUGCUAGGAUCUUACAAAAGGACCUCCCAAGAAGAGGUAAUCACAAACUCAUCUUUGCCAUACCAGCCUAAGGGGAACGGAAGCAAUUUAGAAAGAGGGGCGAAUCCAAACAGAGAGCAUGCCACACAGCAGAGCUUGUAACCCCUUAGUUCCUCCCUGGGAAAGUCCUUCCAACACAAUGGCCUACUUUGUCCCUCUAUCAAUACUGAGAAAGAGAGGCUUAGGGCCAAUUUUAUGACAUAUACUGAAUACUUUCAGUAAUCUACCAGAACUAUUUUCUUUGUGAUUUUUAACCUCGUUUGAGAUAAUUUUCUCAAAAGGGGAAAUAAGCAAUUAUAACCUAAUAAUUACUAUAGACUUCAGAUGCACAUUUAUUACUAGGAUGUUAGAACUGUACAUUUUAAUAUCUUUGUAGGACUGUAGCAUGUGAAGUUCUUCUAAUAUUACAUGAAUUACUAUAUUAGAAAAAAUAAUCUACUAGUAUAUAUCAGUGUAUUGAAUACUUUAUGCUAAAACAUUUAAAUUUUUCUCACUAAAAGUUUACUGUAAAUCGGUGCUCUAUUUAUUUCAUUAUAUUUUUUCUCUAUCCUAACUUACAAUCUGUCCACAACCAUUUUUAUUGAUUUUCAAUAAAAGGGUGUUCUAACACACAUGCACAAAUACAAUGGAAAAUGUCCUGGAAAUGAUGUAUUUUUAAAAACAUUUUUUUGAGUAUAACUAGUACAUUUUAUGUGUUACAUUGAAGUGGUCAUCCAGGGCUUUGCUACUCAGAGUGGGGUUCAUGGACCAGCAGCAUUAACAUCACCUGGAGCCUGUUUAAAAUGCAGAAUUUCAGGCCCUGGCAAUCAAAAUCUAUACUUUCAGAAGAUCCCCUUUGUGAUUUGUAUACAUACAAAAUUUGAGAAGCGAAAAUCUUGAUCAAGGUUAGCAAACUCCCUAUGAGUGGCCCGAUUGUAUGUAUUUUGGACUUUGUUGGCCAUUUUAUUGGUGUUGCAACUGCUCAACCCUGCACUUGUAGUGUAGAAGCAGUCACAGAUAAUAUGGAGACGAUUGUUUAUGCUUGUGUUCAAUAAUAACUGCAUCUGCAAACACUGAAAUUUUCAUUCAAUUUAAUUUUCAUGUGUCAUGAACUAUUAUUCCUGUUUUGAUUUUUUUCCACCAUUUAAAAAUGUAAAAUCGUUCAUAGCUUACUCUGGGCUGCUUUAGUCCAUUGGCUAUAAUUUGGUGAUCGCUAUUUUCUAACAGAGUAAUUUUCCAUAAGGUGACUUUUUAUGUAGAAGUAAUAGGAUAUUUGAGAAGUGAAAUAUAGAAUUGCAAAUAGAGUGAAUCUAGUCUCAAACACCUGCAAAUCAUAUUAAGGUCAAUAACAAAAGAUAAUCAAAUAAGACAGCCAUGAAAAGGAAAUGUCCAUUGUUAUGCAUAUAGUGUGUACUUAUAGAAUAUAUUAAAAAAUAUAGAGGAGAAAUUUAAAAUUACAGAAACUAUUUCCUAUUCUUGAAAUUUAUUCUGGGAGGAUUGCUUUACAGAUAAAACACAUUUUAAUAAAAGGUCCUUCAAUAAGUGGGCAAGCUAACACUCUACAAUGAUGUGCAAGAUAUAAUUAUAAAUACUUCCAUAAGAAUGUCAUUAUAUUUAUAAGAACAGCAAAUUAUUGGGUCAGCUGUAACUUUAGUCACAAAUUGGUUAGAGUGUGUACCUAUGAAAGACAACAGCAGACAGACUGGUUUUGCAUAGAGACUUUCUCAACAAAAUUAUAAAAUAACCAAAGUGAGUAUGACCAAAGUAUUUUUUUCAAUAUAUUGAG
rnacentral:lncRNA from 9 species